AACGAACGCUGGCGGCAGGCCUAACACAUGCAAGUCGAGCGGAUGAAGGGUGCUUGCACCCCGAUUCAGCGGCGGACGGGUGAGUAAUGCCUAGGAAUCUGCCCGAUAGUGGGGGACAACGUUUCGAAAGGAACGCUAAUCCCGCAUACGUCCUACGGGAGAAAGUGGGGGCUCUUCGGACCUCACGCGAUCGGAUGAGCCUAGGCCGGAUUAGGUAGUUGGUGGGGUAAAGGCUCACCAAGGCGGCGAACCGUAACUGGUCUGAGACGAUGAUCAGGCACACUGGAACUGAGACACGGUCCAGACUCCUACGGGAGGCAGCAGUGGGGAAUAUUGGACAAUGGGCGAAAGCCUGAUCCAGCCAGGCCGCGUGUGUGAAGAAGGUCUUCGGGUUGUAAAGCCCUUUUGUUGGGAAAGAAAUCCAGCCGGCUAAUACCUGGUUGGGAUGACGGUACCCAAAGAAUAAGCACCGGCUAACUUCGUGCCAGCCGCCGCAGUAACAC
rnacentral:rRNA from 1 species